GGGUGCGAUCAUACCAGUUUUAAUGCACCAGAUCCCAUUGGAACUCAGUAGUUAAGCAUGCUUGGGCUAGAGUAGUACUGGGAUGGGUGACCUCCAGCGGUUUGGCGAUUUCCAUUG
rnacentral:rRNA from 1 species